CCCGCGCUGCUGAUACGCGCGGCGCAGUCUCGAGAUACACUCGGCUCGCAUGCCGCACGCGAGAAACGGUCAUCUGAUUGUGAGACUUAAGCGAUGGAACUGGACGAGAAAAAGUCUCUUCGCGGAAAGAACGCAAGAUGAGACGAAAGAAUGAUCUCGCUGGCCCAUCGUCGGGGAAGGAACUUGUGGAUUGUAUCGCGGUUUACAUAAUCAGAAAGUCGAAUAGUCAGGUUCACAGUUAACCCUUGAAUUCUCUCUACCUCAUCAAAAACAAUAACAACACGAACAAAAGAGCAAACGUGAUCUCACCAUGUACAUAAUUGCAUGUUAUUAUAAUAGUGUAUUCCGCUCUGUUGAAAAAGAUUUUCUCUGUUUGCAGGAUAGAAUAAAUUAGAUCAAGAUACAUAUUGUGUUCAUCGCAUCACAAUCAACAAAACAGACUCACUCUCGACACCAUACUCUCGCCUAAUUACACUCGUAACUACAUGACACGCAAACGUGAUUUUGGAUUAUUAAGCUAAUUAACCGACAUUUUUCUGUAGUUGAAAAAUCAAUCUGUUAUUUCAAGAUACGAUCUAAGUUUAUUAAUUAAAAUUAAAAAGAGAAUUGCUUUCAGCGAU